rnacentral:rRNA from 1 species
GACAGAGGGGGCUAGCGUUGUUCGGCCUCACUGGGCGUAAAGCGCACGCCGGCGGAUCGAUAAGUCGGGGGUGAAAGCCCGGGGCUCAACCUCGGAAUUGCCUUCGAUACUGUCGGUCUCGAGUCCGGGAGAGGUGAGUGGAAUUCCUAGUGUAGAGGUGAAAUUCGUAGAUAUUAGGAAGAACACCAGUGGCGAAGGCGGCUCACUGGCCCGGUACUGACGCUCAGGUGCGAAAGCGUGGGGAGCAAACAGG